UUUGUCGUCCUUUUACUUCCGAGACGCUGACUGACAAGGUUACUCCAGUCAUGACUGCCGGGUAAUUUCAUUCCUGAAAUUGUUCUUCAUAAAAAAAGGUUGGUGGAGAUUGUUCUCGAUGUGGAAUGCCAAAUCAACAAGAUGAGAUAAGAUGCCAAGCCUCUGUGAAGAGGCCUCUACCAUGUUGCGAUAUGAAAAUGUGCACACUAGGCAAGCUGAAAUGGUUUCAUUGGUUAGCGAAAGUUUGAGCUGUUCAUGGUUGUGAUGUUUGGUGUGGCAGUCAUUUUCUGAUUGAGAGGUGCACUGAAAUGGAUCUUCUACAGACUUGCAGUUCAUCAUCAUACUUCAAUUUACCAUGUUGGUGUCCAUGCAGAGUUGAGCUGUUGCGCAAAAUAAUAGGUGUUGCCUGAUGGCUUUCUGGCAAUUUGUUGGUGUAUUCUUCUGCUACCUGUAUCAAUGUUGAGUUCAAUCGAAAGGCGCCGUUCCGGACUUGAUCCAUUGGUGAAGCUAAGAAGAGGUUGCUGAACUUAAUUUGGUGCUGAUGAACUUCAAGAGAUUGAUAAAUUAUUUAGUCUUAGAAAUUUUCAAAUUCAUAUCUGUUCUCUCUUUCCCCAAGUAAACAAAAUUUCCUCUUAGGAUGGGUAAUUGCAAUAAGAUUUUAUAUUUUCUGUGAGAAAGCUCAGUUAAAACCAUAAAAAUGAUGUGUACUGAUUAACUUACAUCUACCAUAACAAACCUGACAUAAUCAAUAAUACCACCUUGUUAUAAAAUAAUAAAUUAUUGAAAUCAUAA